rnacentral:rRNA from 1 species
GACGAACGCUGGCGGCGUGCCUAAUACAUGCAAGUAGAACGCUGAAGCUUGGUGCUUGCACCGAGCGGAUGAGUUGCGAACGGGUGAGUAACGCGUAGGUAACCUGCCUGGUAGCGGGGGAUAACUAUUGGAAACGAUAGCUAAUACCGCAUAAUAGUAGAUGUUGCAUGACAUUUGCUUAAAAGGUGCAAUUGCAUCACUACCAGAUGGACCUGCGUUGUAUUAGCUAGUUGGUGAGGUAACGGCUCACCAAGGCAACGAUACAUAGCCGACCUGAGAGGGUGAUCGGCCACACUGGGACUGAGACACGGCCCAGACUCCUACGGGAGGCAGCAGUAGGGAAUCUUCGGCAAUGGACGGAAGUCUGACCGAGCAACGCCGGGUGAGUGAAGAAGGUUUUCGGAUCGUAAAGCUCUGUUGUAAGAGAAGAACGAGUGUGAGAGUGGAAAGUUCACACUGUGACGGUAUCUGAACAGAAAGGGACGGCUAACUACGUG